rnacentral:rRNA from 1 species
ACACAGGUGGGCGAGAUGAGUAUUCUAAGGCGCUUGAGAGAACUCGGGAGAAGGAACUCGGCAAAUUGGUACCGUAACUUCGGGAAAAGGUACGCCCUUGUAGCUUGGCUGAUUUACUUCAGUAGGGUGAACGGGUUGCAAUAAACUGGUGGCUGCGACUGUUUAAUAAAAACACAGCACUCUGCAAACACGAAAGUGGACGUAUAGGGUGUGACGCCUGCCCGGUGCUGGAAGAUUAAAUGAUGGGGUGCAAGC